rnacentral:rRNA from 1 species
AUUGAACGCUGGCGGCAGGCUUAACACAUGCAAGUCGAGCGGGGUGAUGGUGCUUGCACUAUCACUUAGCGACGGACGGGUGAGUAAUGCUUAGGAAUCUGCCUAUUAGUGGGGGACAACAUCUCGAAAGGGAUGCUAAUACCGCAUACGUCCUACGGGAGAAAGCAGGGGAUCACUUGUGACCUUGCGCUAAUAGAUGAGCCUAAGUCGGAUUAGCUAGUUGGUGGGGUAAAGGCCUACCAAGGCGACGAUCUGUAGCGGGUCUGAGAGGAUGAUCCGCCACACUGGGACUGAGACACGGCCCAGACUCCUACGGGAGGCAGCAGUGGGGAAUAUUGGACAAUGGGGGGAACCCUGAGCCAGCCAUGCCGCGUGUGUGAAGAAGGCCUUAUGGUUGUAAAGCACUUUAAGCGAGGAGGAGGCUCUUUUGGUUAAUACCCAAGAUGAGUGGACGUUACUCGCAGAAUAAGCACCGGCUAACUCUGUGCCAGCAGCCGCCGUAA